ACACAUAUGCCUUGAGUUGCUCUUCAGUGAAUAUCACUUUUCCUUUCAUGUUUUUUCUACAUGCUAUUAUCUGUAUGAAAUGAAGACCAAGAAAGGAUGGGAAGAAGGAGAAGAAAAAUUUUGAUUUAUCUCAGAAACUAUACUCCGAAGUGAGAGUCCUGGUUGCAGCAUCCUUCACCGAAGCACGAAGCAGAAUCAAGCUGUUGCCAUGAAGCUUGUUUCAAGAGCUCAGAAAUACUCCAGGGACUCCUUUACUACUGCUUUUCAAAGAGGCCUUUUUUUCUCUCUUCUCCUUUUCCUGCAAAGAGGGUUAUAUCCAGUGCUCAAGGACAUGGGAUUAUCAGCCUAAGGCAUGAGUACAUGCUGUGGAAACAGAAAUAUGUAUGAAGGGAUGUAUGAAACCACAGAAUAAAUGGAAUCCACAUUCUUGAAGUAGCUACAACUCUACUUGAGGUCCCAAGGCACGUAGAUAGUACCUAUACAUCUCAUCAGGAACAUGGAUGGUUCUCUGCUAUCAGCUGAAGUGCUGUGACCACAAAACUGAAAAUUCCCAUUCUGUGUCCUUGCCAAUAAAGAAUGUCCAUCAGAGCACGCCCAGUAUCCUAGCUCCUUAUCCAGACUGUGCUUCUCAGUAAGUACACAGAGCCUGAUUUUAAUGUCUUCACUCAGCCCUGGUUUCCACCAUUUUCAGUGAAAGAAAAAUUCUAAUGAAAGGCUAAUAAAUGAUGUGCAAAUGGCUAAUAUUCUUGCAA
ensembl:lncRNA LINC02208 long intergenic non-protein coding RNA 2208